UACGUAGGGUGCAAGCGUUGUCCGGAAUUAUUGGGCGUAAAGAGCUCGUAGGCGGUUUGUCGCGUCUGCUGUGAAAACUCGGGGCUUAACCCCGGGCCUGCAGUGGGUACGGGCAGACUAGAGUUCGGUAGGGGAGUCUGGAAUUCCUGGUGUAGCGGUGAAAUGCGCAGAUAUCAGGAGGAACACCGGUGGCGAAGGCGGGACUCUGGGCCGAUACUGACGCUGAGGAGCGAAAGCGUGGGGAGCGAACAGG
rnacentral:rRNA from 1 species